AUGGAUUCUAGCUCCGAGUGGUUACAAAAACGUCUUGUGAAAUAUCGGUCCAGCAAGAACGAUAUGUAUGAGUCUAUAGAGGAGUUGGAUGACAUGGAUAAACUUGGACAAGGUUUUACGUCGGCCGAUCCAUUAGAAGAGGUAGAUAUUGGAGAUGGUUCAGUCACUCGACCGACAUUUAUAAACAAAAAUUUGAAAGCCGGUUGUAAAGCUAAGUUAAUCGAGCUAUUGAAAGAAUAUGUUUGUUGCUUUGCAUGGGAAUAUCAUGAGAUGCCAGGGUUAAGCCGAGAGCUAGUGGAGCAUUGUUUACCUAUAAAGGCCGGUUUUAGACCAUAUAAACAGUCGGCCAGAAAUUUUAAUCCAAAAACAUAUGACCGGAUCAAGGAAGAGAUCGGUCGACUGCUUGAAGCUAAUUUCAUUCGACCUUGCAGGUAUGCCGAGUGGAUUUCUAACAUUGUCCCAGUGGAGAAGAAGGGAUCCGACAAGUUGAGGGUGUGCAUUGACUUCAGAGAUUUGAAUAGGGCUACACCCAAAGAUGAGUAUCCCAUGCCAAUAGCCGAUAUGCUUAUUAAUGAUGCUUCUGGACAUAAGGUUGUUAAUUUUCUAGAUGGUAAUGCUGGAUACAAUCAAAUUUUUAUGGCCGAAGAGGACAUGUACAAGGCUGCUUUUCGAUGCCCUGGUUUCCUUGGUUUAUUUGAGUGGACAGUGAUGACAUUCGGAUUAAAAAAUGCUGGCGCCACAUAUCAAAGGGCUAUGAAUUUGAUUUUUCAUGAUUUACUCGGUGUCAUACUUGAAGUUUAUAUUGAUGAUAUUGUUGUCAAAUCGGAUGCUUUUGAAUCACACUUGGCUGAUUUGCGUUUAGCUUUUGAAAGAAUGAAAAAGUAUGGACUGAAGAUGAAUCCUUUGAAGUGUGCUUUCGGUGUGUCAGCUGGCAAGUUUUUGGGUUUCAUUAUUCAUGAAGAUGGCAUAGAGAUUGAUCCCAAAAAGAUAGAGGCCAUACAGAAAGUGGAAGCUCCAACAUGCAAGAGAGAUAUGCAAAAGUUCCUUGGCAAGGUCAAUUAUUUGAGAAGGUUCAUAGCUAAUCUAUCAGGGAAAGUUGAUGCAUUUACUCCUAUCCUUCGGUUGAAGAAUGAUGCUGAUUUCACUUGGAGGGCAAAACAGCAAGAAGCAUUUGAUAUGAUCAAAAACUAUUUGUGCACUCCUCCGGUGAUGAAAGCACCCAAGCAUAGAGAACCCUUCAGGCUUUACAUUGCAGCAGAGGAAGGAGUUAUUGGUGCUGUUUUGACUCAAGAAACCGAGGCAAAAGAGCAUGCUAUUACAUAUUUGAGCAGGCGCUUAUUGGACGCCGAGACAAGGUAUAUAUUUAUUGAAAAAUUAUGUCUAUGCUUAUAUUAUGCUUGCACAAAACUGAGACAUUAUUUAGUGCCGAGUGCUUGUGUAGUAGCUUGUCAAACCGAUGUCAUUAAAUACAUGUUGCAUAGGCCAAUUCUUAGUGGUAGAAUUGGCAAGUGGGUUUAUGCUUUGAUUGAAUAUAAUUUGGCUUAUGAAUCUCUAAAAUCCAUGAAAGGCCAAAUUGUUGCUAAUUUCAUUGUUGAAUAUCGGAUUAAUGACAAGAAUGAUGUUGAUAUGAACCUUGUUUCAUUAGUACCAUGA
rnacentral:rRNA from 1 species